AUUUUAAGGGCCGCGGUAAUCUGACCGUGCAAAGGUAGCAUAAUAGUUAGUUUUUUAAUUGGGAUCUUGUAUGAAUGGUUGGACAAAAGAAAUACUGUCUCUAUAGUUGUUAUUGAAUUUAACUUUUAAGUGAAAAGGCUUAAAUUAUUUAAAAAGACGAUAAGACCCUAUAAAGCUUUAUAAGUGUGUGUUGUUUGAUUGAAUUAGUUAAUAAAAUUUAAAUAAUAUAAUUAUUUUGUUGGGGAGAUAAUAUUAUAAUUAAAAAUAACUGUUAAAAAGUAUUACAAUUAUAAGUGAUUUAUAAAAUAAAAGAUCCUAAAUAAAGAUUGUAAGUUUAAGUUACUUUAGGGAUAACAGCGUUAUUUUCUUUGAGAGCCCAUAUCGAAAAGAAAGAUUGCGACCUCGAUGUUGAAUUAAAAUUUCUAAGUGAUUGCAGAAGUUGCUUUAGAGGGUCUGUUCGACCUUUAAACUUUUACAUGAUUUGAGUUCAGACCGGCGUGAGCCAGGUUGGUUUCUAUCUUUUAACAAUAAAAAGGUUAUUUUAGUACGAAAGGAUUAAAUAAUCAAAUUUUUUUUAAUGUUGAAGUUAUUUUGGCAGAAGGUAUGCGUAGGA
rnacentral:rRNA from 1 species